rnacentral:rRNA from 1 species
UGGGGAAUUUUGGACAAUGGGCGAAAGCCUGAUCCAGCAAUGCCGCGUGUGUGAAGAAGGCCUUCGGGUUGUAAAGCACUUUUGUCCGGAAAGAAAUCCUUGGCUCUAAUACAGUCGGGGGAUGACGGUACCGGAAGAAUAAGCACCGGCUAACUACGUGCCAGCAGCCGCGGUAAUACGUAGGGUGCAAGCGUUAAUCGGAAUUACUGGGCGUAAAGCGUGCGCAGGCGGUUUGCUAAGACCGACGUGAAAUCCCGGGCUCAACCUGGGAACUGCAUUGGUGACUGGCAGGCUAGAGUAUGGCAGAGGGGGGUAGAAUUCCACGUGUAGCAGUGAAAUGCGUAGAGAUGUGGAGGAAUACCGAUGGCGAAGGCAGCCCCCUGGGCCAAUACUGACGCUCAUGCACGAAAGCGUGGGGAGCAAACAGGAUUAGAUACCCUGGUAGUCCACGCCCUAAACGAUGUCAACUAGUUGUUGGGGAUUCAUUUCCUAGUAACGUAGCUAACGCGUGAAGUUGACCGCCUGGGGAGUACGGUCGCAAGAUUUAAAACUCAAGGAAUUGACGGGUCAUAGCUGUUCCU